rnacentral:ncRNA from 1 species
AAAACUGUGCAAAUUCAAUAUAUUGCAGGAACACGUAGGCCU